rnacentral:rRNA from 1 species
AAACCGUUCAGGGGUAAACCUGAGAAACCCAAAAGAUCGAAUGGGAAGAUUCAUCGUCAACGGCGCUGGCCGCGCGUUGUACGACGAUGCUUGUGUGAUCUCGGUUACACGGGCACGUCGUCUACGCGUUACGCUUGGUGUCGUCGGCGUGCACUUCUUCCCUAGUAGGACGUCGCGACCCGUUGAGUGUCGGUCUACGGCCCGAAUGGUAGACUAUCACGUGUAGUUCUCGGACUCACGUUGGUAGACCUUUGGAUGCCCGGCCGACCGCUCGGCGGUACACGCACGGUAUAGGGCCGCAGUUUCGACUGCGUCUGGCUCGUCGCAAGCGCGUUCAGUGUUUUCCCGAAUGUACGAACCAAGUUUCGUCGUCGGGCCUGGACGGCUGUUGGCAGGCGAUGCCCUUAGACUGGCCCACAACCAAUAAUGGUGAUUACCGGUCGGCGACGCUACUGCUUUGGGUACUUUCAGGA